rnacentral:rRNA from 1 species
GAUGAACGCUGGCGGCGUGCCUAAUACAUGCAAGUCGAGCGAACUGAUUAGAAGCUUGCUUCUAUGACGUUAGCGGCGGACGGGUGAGUAACACGUGGGUAACCUGCCUGUAAGACUGGGAUAACUUCGGGAAACCGAAGCUAAUACCGGAUAGGAUCUUCUCCUUCAUGGGAGAUGAUUGAAAGAUGGUUUCGGCUAUCACUUACAGAUGGGCCCGCGGUGCAUUAGCUAGUUGGUGAGGUAACGGCUCACCAAGGCAACGAUGCAUAGCCGACCGGAGAGGGUGAUCGGCCACACGGGGACGGAGACACGGCCCAGACUCCUACGGGAGGCAGCAGUAGGGAAUCUUCCGCAAUGGACGAAAGUCUGACGGAGCAACGCCGCGUGAGUGAUGAAGGCUUUCGGGUCGUAAAACUCUGUUGUUAGGGAAGAACAAGUACAAGAGUAACUGCUUGUACCUUGACGGUACCUAACCAGAAAGCCACGGCUAACUACGUGCCAGCAGCCGCCGUAACAC